rnacentral:tRNA from 1 species
CAGUCUGUAGUCUAGUGGCUAAGGUACAUGACUGAGACUCCUGAGGUUGGUGGCUCGAGCCCCAGUCUGG